rnacentral:rRNA from 1 species
AACGAACGCUGGCGGCAUGCCUAACACAUGCAAGUCGAACGAGACCUUCGGGUCUAGUGGCGCACGGGUGCGUAACGCGUGGGAACCUGCCCUUAGGUUCGGAAUAGCUCCCCGAAAGGGGUGCUAAUACCGGAUAAUGUCUUCGGACCAAAGAUUUAUCGCCUUUGGAUGGGCCCGCGUUGGAUUAGCUAGUUGGUAGGGUAAAAGCCUGCCAAGGCGACGAUCCAUAGCUGGUCUGAGAGGAUGAUCAGCCACACUGGGACUGAGACACGGCCCAGACUCCUACGGGAGGCAGCAGUGGGGAAUAUUGGACAAUGGGCGAAAGCCUGAUCCAGCAAUGCCGCGUGAGUGAUGAAGGCCUUAGGGUUGUAAAGCUCUUUUACCCGGGAUGAUAAUGACAGUACCGGGAGAAUAAGCUCCGGCUAACUCCGUG